rnacentral:rRNA from 1 species
UACGUAGGUGGCAAGCGUUGUCCGGAUUUACUGGGCGUAAAGAGCGCGCAGGCGGUCGUUCAAGUCGCGUGUGAAAGCCCCCGGCUCAACUGGGGAGGGUCACGCGAUACUGAUCGACUCGAAGGCAGGAGAGGGAAGUGGAAUUCCCGGUGUAGUGGUGAAAUGCGUAGAUAUCGGAAGGAACACCAAUGGCGAAAGCAGAUCUCUGGGCCGUAACUGACGCUGAGGAGCGAAAGCAUGGGGAGCGAACAGG